GCGAGAGAGGGUCCGACAGAAUCGAGUCACCCAAUAGGAUCCGAUCAAGCAUACGGAUAGCUCGAUCGGUAUACAUGUUGUGGCCGACAGACUAGUAAAAAAUUUAUAUCAAAACUCGAUCAUUAGAACUAUAAAAACUCUUAUAUGUAUGCUUUAGUUAAUUUAAAUUUAUUAUUUAUUUAUUAUAGACAUGGCAGCUAGGUCAUCUAUC
rnacentral:lncRNA from 1 species